GAUGAACGCUGGCGGCGUGCCUAAUACAUGCAAGUCGAGCGAACAGACGAGGAGCUUGCUCCUCUGACGUUAGCGGCGGACGGGUGCGUAACACGUGGAUAACCUACCUAUAAGACUGGGAUAACUUCGGGAAACCGGAGCUAAUACCGGAUAAUAUAUUGAACCGCAUGGUUCAAUAGUGAAAGACGGUUUUGCUGUCACUUAUAGAUGGCUCCGCCCCUCAUUAGCUAGUUGGUAAGGUAACCGCUUACCAAGGCAACGAGGCGUAGCCGACCUGAGAGGGUGAUCGGUCAGCCGGGCAGUGAGACACGGUACAGACUCCUACGGGAGGAAGCAGUAGGGACUCUUACGCAAUGGGCGAAAGCUUGACGGAGCAACGCCGCGGGAGUGAUGAAGGUCUUCGGAUCGUAAAACUCUGUUAUUAGGGAAGAACAAAUGUGUAAGUAACUAUGCACGUCUUGACGGUACCUAAUCAGAAAGCCACGGCUAACUACGUG
rnacentral:rRNA from 1 species